rnacentral:lncRNA from 1 species
UUGCAAAGGACACAAAAGGCCGACUUAAAAGAAUGUUGUACCAUCUUUGGGUAGGCAGACUUCCCUGACGACAUCAGUGAUACCCAAAGCUGAGCAGAGCGUGGCUUACAAAGACUUUAUUUAUUUUACUGUCUUUGAAGGAAACGUUCGCAACGUUUCUGAAGUCUCGGUUGAGUAUUUAUGCUCUCAGCCUUGUGUUGUCAAUUUGGAAGCAGUUGUUUCAUCUGAGUUCAGAAGUAGCAUUCCCGUGUACAAAAAAAGGUGGAAGAAUGAGAAACAUCUUCACACCAGCAGGACACAAAUAGUACAUGUGAAAUUUCCAAGCAUUAUGGUUUACAGAGAUGAUUAUUUCAUCAGACAUUCCAUCUCUGUAUCUGCAGUGAUAGUACGCGCCUGGAUUACUCACAAAUACAGUGGCAGAGACUGGAAUGUUAAAUGGGAGGAAAACUUGCUCCAUGCUGUAGCAAAGAAUUAUACCCUCCUGCAGACCAUCCCGCCUUUUGAACGCCCUUUCAAAGAUCAUCAAGUGUGCCUUGAGUGGAACAUGGGUUAU